rnacentral:rRNA from 1 species
UACGUAGGUGGCAAGCGUUGUCCGGAUUUACUGGGCGUAAAGGGAGCGUAGGUGGAUAUUUAAGUGGGAUGUGAAAUACUCGGGCUUAACCCGGGUGCUGCAUUCCAAACUGGAUAUCUAGAGUGCAGGAGAGGAAAGUAGAAUUCCUAGUGUAGCGGUGAAAUGCGUAGAGAUUAGGAAGAAUACCAGUGGCGAAGGCGACUUUCUGGACUGUAACUGACACUGAGGCUCGAAAGCGUGGGGAGCAAACAGG